rnacentral:rRNA from 1 species
CACCGCGGUUAUACGAGGGGCCCUAGCUGACAGACCCCCGGCGUAAAGGGUGGUUAAUAAUUAAACAAACUAAAGCCGAAUUUUUCCAAAUCUGUUAUACGUUCUCGGAAAAUAGAAGUCCUUCUACGAAAGUGGCUUUAUACAGUUGAACCCACGAAAGCUAAGAAA